UCAGGAUCCUGUGAUGUCACAGAAUGGGCCAUUGCCAUAGUGAAGGCUGUGGACUAGGCCUGAGGGAGCACAGGGUCUACUGGGGUUGGCAGGGAUACAGAGCAGGAGCAAUUGGGUAGGGAGGCUGGGACUGUGUGGUGGUCGGUUAGGAUCCCUCAUUACUGGGAUGAUGGUCUGAUUUAACCCUAGUGUGAUGUACAGUGAGUAAGGAGUCUCAGAGGCUGUGAGUCAUCUCAUGUCCCUGAAGUGUCCUAUAUCAAACAGGACAGUGUCCAUGGUAAGAAGAUAUGAUGGCAGCAGAGAUCAGAAGGAUGAGUGCAGAGGAACCAGGCAUGCAAUGACACAGGGAUUUGGCACUCACAACACAACAGAGAAAGAGGCCACAGGAUGAGCUCACUUAACCUGUAAAACCCAAAAGACUCUAGGCUCUGCUUGGUGAAGGAUAAAGCUCUGCUGCUGUGUCCCAAUGCAGGGACAAGUAUCAUCUCUGGCAGUCCGUAGUGUCCAAGGCAGGUGGGAUGCUUCAGAGAUCCUGUUUUGUGGAGCUCCUAACUGUGCUACUUCACAGAAGCAGGGUGUUUUUUGUGGCCAUGAGUUCCCCACAGCAUAACUGAAGGCAAGGACUAACAUCAAAUCCCACUGAAAUACUCUCUUUUUAUUUAUCCAUAUUUGAAUUAUACAUAAGGCCUGGAUGUUUAUACAUGUGAAGGCAUGUAGCAUGUAUGUUCUGGGACUGAACAUACUGGUGUGAGUGAAAGCAAAAGCCAUAUAUAAACAUCAGAUGUCUUUGUCUACCCCACUCUACCUUGUUUGGAAACAGGAUUGCUGUGGGAUGUUCUGUAUGGCAAAUGUGUUGCUCUGAUAGGUCAAUAAAUAAAACACUGAUUGGCCAGUGGCUAGGCAGGAAGUAUAGGCGGGACUAACAGAGAGGAGAAAAGAAAGAACAGGAAGGCAGAAGGAGACACUGCCAGCCGCCGCCACGACAAGAAGCAUGUGAAGACACCAGUAAGCUAUGAGCCACGUGACAAGGCAGGAAAACUCUAGCUACACAGGAUGACUCUGGGCUCAGAGCACUGCUACUGAGAACUCAGCAGUGUCCACUGGGUCUGGGCUCACUGUGAAUUAGCAUGGACAUGCAAUAAUUCACUCAGUCCUUCAGAAGCAGAGCUAAGACGACAACAGGGAGCAAAUGAUCUGAUGCAUCAUGACUCAUAGAUUUGGAUGGCUUUGAAGAAAGCUCAGAGGUGUUAAUCAUGUUUCAGCUGCACCAUCCAUUCAUGAGAAACAAAAUGAGAAACUGCUGGUAGAGAUAAUGCAGCUCCAGCACAGCCCCAGCCCAGAUGCUCACGGAGGAGUAUAAAGUGGAAAUAGACAGACAUCAAUGAGAUUCCACAUCUCAAGAAGUGCCAGAGCUCCUAUAUCCAGAGAACGAGGGAGAAUGUGAGGCGUGGUGGCAGGGGAGCCACGAAUAACACACAUCUCAGAGAUGUGUCUGAGCACCUGAGCAGAAGGGGGAGGCUGAGCUCCAGAGUGGAUGACUGCCUUUGUGUCCUCUCUUCCCAUGAAGCCAUCUUGCUGGAGAUCAGACGUGGAACAGUGUUUUUAAAAAGAUGUUAAGUCACUGCUGUC